rnacentral:lncRNA from 1 species
GGACUGCUCUCAUCGUGCUAAGUGACCAACACCCUCGGCAGGGAGACCCCGGGUGAUCCGCUCUGCUCCAAAGGGAUGGCAGGCUGGCUGGGGUCAGGAGGCUUCCGAGUGAGCAGUCUGCCUCCUGACCGACUGGAACUCCUCGCGCAGUGUGUGUCUUCGCCCAGUCCUGCCAUCCCCUCAACACUCGCCUCCAGAUCCGGGGAGCACUGGAAAGAGAAGCACUAUUCAACAAUAACGAGGUGGGGACCAGAGAGGAGAUUUUUAGAGAUGAGAUCAUUAGGGAUGAGAUUUUUAGCAUGUGUAAAUAUUUUAGAAACUCCCCAAGAAUUUUUUAAGAGAGAAUAUGUGUGGAAGCCAGACAGGGGGGCAAAGGGGAGAGAGGGAGAAUCUUUUUUUUUUUUUUAAAGAUUUAUUCAUUCAUGAGAGACAUAGAGAGAGGCAGAGACACAGGCAGAGGGAGAAGCAGGCUCCCUGCGGGGAGCCCAACAUGGGACUCAAUCCCGGGACCCCAGGAUCACACCCUGGGCCGGCGGCAGAUGCUCAAUCGCUGAGCCACCCAGGCUGCAAUCUUUUUUUUUUUUUUUAAGAUUUUAUUUAUUGGGGAGAAGAGAGCGAGCACACAGGUAGAAAGAGAAGGAGAGGGAGAAGCAGGCUCCCCACUGAGCAGGGAGCCGCAUGUGGGGCUCAAUCCCAGGACCCCGAGAUCGUGACCUGAGCCAAAGGCAGAGCCACCCAGGAGCCCCUACAGUUCUAUUUCUUAAUUUUUAUUUUUGUUCUUUUGGGGCUUCAGCAAAAUGACGUGGAUGCUAUGAACUUAACAAUUCCAUUUGGGAAGAUCUGUCACCUAACAAAGCAAAGCUGCCUCACUGCCACAUGCAGAGCAGAGUGAGAAGAAUCAUGCGUGCUGCCUCCCACGGCCAAGGAAAGCUGCGCCCGUGGCGAGGGGAGAGGAGGGCCGGCAUCCGAGGGGCAGAGGACCAGACGACAACUUCAUUCUCUCCCCAAAAAAGAGGGGACUGGACUCCCCUGGGGACCUGGCUCAGGCUCCCCACACACUGCCGCGACGGGGCCCUUAAGCAUCUCUCAGUCCCGGGACCAGAAGUCCUAGAUGGAUGUGGCAGCAGAUACUACAAACCUUGCCUCGGUCUGCAGUGCAAACUCCAAAACGUGGCAAAGGGUGGAGCAAAGGUAAGUAAGUGCCCUCUGCAUUUCAGCAGACAGGGCAGUGGUCUCCACUCGCGCUCACCCCAAUAG